GUGAGUCAUCGAAUCUUUGAACGCACAUUGCGCCCUCUGGUAUUCCGGAGGGCAUGCCUGUUCGAGCGUCAUUACACCCUCAAGCCUCGCUUGGUGUUGGGAGCUGCCUGCGCACUCCUCAAAAACAGUGGUGACGGCUGAUCAACUCACGCGUAGUACUACUUCACGACGAUGAGAUCAGUCUCCCCCAGAAAGCCUCUUGUUUGACCUCGGAUCAGGUAGGGAUACCCGCUGAACUUAAGCAUAUCAAUAAGCGGAGGA
rnacentral:misc_RNA from 1 species